rnacentral:lncRNA from 1 species
CUGUCACCAGGCUGGAGUGCAGUGGUGCGAUCUCGGCUCACUGCAACCUCCACCUCCCGGGUUCAAGCGAUUCUCCUGCCUCAGCCUCCUGAGUAGCUGGGACUACAGUAUGUGCUACCUGUAAGUUUUUGUAUUUUUUGUAGAAAUGGGGUUUUGCCAUGUUGCCCAGGCUGGUCUCGAUCUUCUGGACUCCAGGCAGAUGCCUGCCUUUUGAGUUUUUAAAAACAUGUCUGAUGGGGAAAAGACAUAUAAUGAUGGGAUUUUUCAAUGUAUAUAGACGUAAUAUGAUAGAUAUUGCACAAAGAGGGGAAGGAAAAGGGAUCCAUAUUGUGGCAAGGUCUCUACAAUCCAACUAGAGUGUUAAAAAACUAAUUCUAAAUAUUUAUUUGGUAAUCCCUAGAGCAACCACUAAAAAACUAUACAAAGACAUAAAGUAAAAAUCACAACAGAUAAAUUAAAAUGAAGUACUAAAAAAUGUUCUAAUAACCCAAAAGAAGGCAAGAAAAGGAAAAUAGAGAAUGAAAAAGAGAGAGAAAAGCAGAAGACAAAAAAAAAUGGUAAACCUAAUUCUAAAUGUAUCAGCAAUUGCACUGAAUGUAAAUGAUCUAUACAUACCAAUUAAAAGACAUAUUGGCAGAGUGGAUAAAGAAACAUGACCCAACUAUGCUGUCUACAAGAAAACUCACUUCAAAUAUAAUUCAAUGGGUAGAUUGAAAAUAAAAAGAUGAAGCUGGGCAUGGUGGCUCACGCCUGUAAUCCCAGCACCUAAGAGGCCGAGGGGGGCAGAUCACCUGAGGUGAGGAGUUCAAGACCAGCCUGGCUAACAUGGUGAAACCCCAUCUCUACUAAAAAUACAAAAAUUAGCUGGGCGUGGUGGUGGACAUCUGUAAUCCCAGCUACUUGGGAGGCUGAGGCAGGAGAAUUGCUUGAACCCAGGAGGCGGAGGUUGCAGUGAGCCAAGAUUGUACCACUGCACUCCAGCCUGGGCAGUAGAGCUAGACUCUAUCUCAAAAAAGAAAAAAAAAAAAGAAAAGAAAAAGGUGGAAAUACACAUACCAUGCAAACAAUCAAAAGGAAGCUGGAAUGGCUAUAUUAAUAUCAGAAAAAUAUUUUUUUUUUUUUGAGGUAGGUUCUUGCCCUGUCACCCAGGCUGGAGUACAGUGGCACAACCUUGGCUCACUGCAGCCUAAACCUCCUGGGCUCAAGCAAUCCUCCCACCUCAGCCUCCUAAGUAGCUGGGACUAUACAUGUGUGCCACCAGGCCCAGUUAAUUUUUUUUUUUUUUGCAGAGAUGAGGUCUCACUAUGUUGCCCAGGCUGAUCUUGG